rnacentral:rRNA from 1 species
GACGCUGGCGGCAGGCUUACACAUGCAAGUCGAGCGGAGAUGAGGUGCUUGCACCUUAUCUUAGCGGCGGACGGGUGAGUAAUGCUUAGGAAUCUGCCUAUUAGUGGGGGACAACAUUCCGAAAGGAAUGCUAAUACCGCAUACGUCCUACGGGAGAAAGCAGGGGAUCUUCGGACCUUGCGCUAAUAGAUGAGCCUAAGUCGGAUUAGCUAGUUGGUGGGGUAAAGGCCUACCAAGGCGACGAUCUGUAGCGGGUCUGAGAGGAUGAUCCGCCACACUGGGACUGAGACACGGCCCAGACUCCUACGGGAGGCAGCAGUGGGGAAUAUUGGACAAUGGGGGGAACCCUGAUCCAGCCAUGCCGCGUGUGUGAAGAAGGCCUUAUGGUUGUAAAGCACUUUAAGCGAGGAGGAGGCUACUGAGACUAAUACUCUUGGAUAGUGGACGUUACUCGCAGAAUAAGCACCGGCUAACUCUGUGCCAGCAGCCGCGGUAAUACAGAGGGUGCGAGCGUUAAUCGGAUUUACUGGGCGUAAAGCGUGCGUAGGCGGCUUUUUAAGUCGGAUGUGAAAUCCCCGAGCUUAACUUGGGAAUUGCAUUCGAUACUGGGAAGCUAGAGUAUGGGAGAGGAUGGUAGAAUUCCAGGUGUAGCGGUGAAAUGCGUAGAGAUCUGGAGGAAUACCGAUGGCGAAGGCAGCCAUCUGGCCUAAUACUGACGCUGAGGUACGAAAGCAUGGGGAGCAAACAGGAUUAGAUACCCUGGUAGUCCAUGCCGUAAACGAUGUCUACUAGCCGUUGGGGCCUUUGAGGCUUUAGUGGCGCAGCUAACGCGAUAAGUAGACCGCCUGGGGAGUACGGUCCCAGAUAAACUC